UUGCCCUAGUAACGGCGAGUGAAGCGGCAACAGCUCAAAUUUGAAAUCUGGCGCAAGCCCGAGUUGUAAUUUGUAGAGGAUGCUUCUGGGUAGCGACCGAUCUAAGUUCCUUGGAACAGGACGUCAUAGAGGGUGAGAAUCCCGUAUGUGACCGGCCCGCACCCUUUACGUAGCUCCUUCGACGAGUCGAGUUGUUUGGGAAUGCAGCUCUAAAUGGGAGGUAAAUUUCUUCUAAAGCUAAAUACCGGCCAGAGACCGAUAGCGCACAAGUAGAGUGAUCGAAAGAUGAAAAGUACUUUGGAAAGAGAGUUAAAAAGCACGUGAAAUUGUUGAAAGGGAAGCGCCUGCAACCAGACUUCGCGGCAGUGUUCCGCCGGUCUUCUGACCGGUUCAUUCUCUGUCGCGAGGCCAUCAUCGUCUGGGCCCGCCGGAUAAGACCUUAGGAAUGUAGCUCACCUUCGGGGGAGUGUUAUAGCCUAGGGUGAUGCGGCGAGGCUCGGGCGAGGUCCGCGCUUCGGCAAGGAUGAUGGCGUAAUGGUUGUCGGCGGCCCGUCUUGAAACACGGACCAAGGAGUCUAACAUCUAUGCGAGUGUUCGGGUGUCAAACCCCUACGCGUAAUGAAAGUGAACGGAGGUGGGAACCGCAAGGUGCACCAUCGACCGAUCCUGAUGUCCUCGGAUGGAUUUGAGUAAGAGCAUAGCUGUUGGGACCCGAAAGAUGGUGAACUAUGCCUGAAUAGGGUGAAGCCAGAGGAAACUCUGGUGGAGGCUCGCAGCGGUUCUGACGUGCAAAUCGAUCGUCAAAUUUGGGUAUAGGGGC
rnacentral:rRNA from 7 species